CAAGCGUCUGGGGUAAGGAGUCGGUUGCCAUCAGACCCACUGAUGAGUCUAAGGCAGUGAUUCCGAGACGAAACGCAAA
rnacentral:hammerhead_ribozyme from 17 species